rnacentral:rRNA from 1 species
UACGACUACAUAUCAGGCAUAUCAAUAAGCGGAGGAAAAGAAACUAACAAGGAUUCCCCUAGUAACGGCGAGUGAAGCGGGAAGAGCUCAAAUUUGAAAUCUUCAAGGUUCUACCUUGACGAAUUGUAGUUUAUAAGAAGUGUUUUCUGUUGGAUGUUUUGGUAAAAGUUCUUUGGAAUAGGACAUCAUAGAGGGUGAGAAUCCCGUAUUUGACCUUUACUUUCCAGCUGUGUGAUACACUUUCAAAGAGUCGGAUUGUUUGGGAAUGCAGUCCAAAAUGGGUGGUAAAUUUCAUCUAAAGCUAAAUAUUGGCGAGAGACCGAUAGCGAACAAGUACCGUGAGGGAAAGAUGAAAAGAACUUUGAAAAGAGAGUUAAACAGUACGUGAAAUUGUCAAAAGGGAAGCGUUUGACACCAGUGUUGUUUUUCUGAAAAUCAAUUCAGAUAGUUUUGAUGCUAAGUUGUAUUGACUUUAUCAGCUUGCUGCUUUAGUUCUCUAGAUUAUUGAAUGCACUUUUCAGUUAACAAGUCAACAUCAAUUUCUUUUGCUUGUAAAAAGGCUAAGAGGAAGGUGGCUUGCGCUUCGGCUCAAGUGUUCAUAGCCUUUUAUCUCUGCAAUCGGAGAGAUUGAGGUCUGCAGCGUAGAUCCUUCGGGGUUAGAUACAUUGGUGCUAAGCUAUAGCCUUGUAUAGACAACUUGUUGACUAUGCUCAGUCAUGUAGCUUACUCGCUGAUGCUAUUUUACCUACGCUUAGGAUGUUGAACGCGCACAGAGUCUC